UACGUAGGGUGCGAGCGUUGUCCGGAAUUACUGGGCGUAAAGCGCACGCAGGCGGUUUGUUAAGUCAGAUGUGAAAUCCCCGGGCUCAACCUGGGAACUGCAUUUGAAACUGGCAAGCUAGAGUCUCGUAGAGGGGGGUAGAAUUCCAGGUGUAGCGGUGAAAUGCGUAGAGAUCUGGAGGAAUACCGGUGGCGAAGGCGGCCCCCUGGACGAAGACUGACGCUCAGGUGCGAAAGCGUGGGGAGCAAACAGG
rnacentral:rRNA from 1 species